rnacentral:rRNA from 1 species
UGCCAGCCGCCGCGGUAAUACGAAGGGUGCAAGCGUUAAUCGGAAUUACUGGGCGUAAAGCGCGCGUAGGUGGUUUGUUAAGUUGAAUGUGAAAGCCCCGGGCUCAACCUGGGAACUGCAUCCAAAACUGGCAAGCUAGAGUAUGGCAGAGGGUGGUGGAAUUUCCUGUGUAGCGGUGAAAUGCGUAGAUAUAGGAAGGAACACCAGUGGCGAAGGCGACCACCUGGGCUAAUACUGACACUGAGGUGCGAAAGCGUGGGGAGCAAACAGGAUUAGAUA